rnacentral:lncRNA from 1 species
AAAUAGCAUUGGAUUUACCCUUUGUUCUUCAUGAGAUGCCAAAAUGAGCCAACAGAUAAGUUGAAGUUGAUAACCAGUUGAAUCAGCCAUAUGCAAAAUUAUCCAUCAUAGCAAAUCUACUUGGUCACUCUUUGAGAAAGAAAAAAAUAAUAACUUAACAUGAUAUAAAAAUGAAAAGAAAACCUGUGAAUUCACGCAUUCUGCAUUGCUUUGCCUAGUGAAAUCAUCAGAUCCACUUUCAAAC